UUUUUCUUUGAGGAUGUGAAGUAAAAUGCUAAAUUGCUCAACUAAUUUGGGAAGAUACCCUUCCUUUCUGAGUUCUUGAACUCCCUGUACGUGUGCCAGUAGUACAAGGCAUUUUUUUUUCUCAGCAUUUACUGGAAUGGCAGAGCAGAUAAAGUUUGACCGUUGCUUGUACCCACAUUUCCGGUUCUACAUGAGGGAAGUGAGAACGGUGGUUUACUCUCAGUUUGUUGGAAUCUUACAAGAGCGUGACGGUUGAUGCCAUGGCAAAGGCCUUUGGUGUUUCAGUGGACUUCAUUGAUCAGGAGCUGUCAUGCUUCACUGCAAGAUAGUCAAAGUUGCAGGUGUUUUGGAGACAAAGAAUGCAUUUUACCAGGCAACAAUCAAGCAAGGGGAUUUCUAGCUAAACAGGAUCCAGAAGCUGUCUCAAGUCAUCAUCACUUUAGUUAGUUGCAGAUAUUAAUCUUUGCAAGGCAUAAAAGUGUUGGAUGGUUUGGAACAAAAGGCUAAGGCUAGUGGUGCUUCUCACAGAGGAGUUUGUCAAUGAUUACAUAUUCCCUUGUCUUAGAGCUGGUGCCAUAUAUGAACGAAAAACCUUGCUUGUCUUAGAGAUUAUGUUGGAGGCAAUGGUAGAUGUAGUAGCAGAGGUUGGAGCUGAUGCCGUUUCACAUGGGUGGUACUGGCUAAGGAAAUGAUGACCAGG